GUGAACAGACAUCCGAGCCACAUACACACAUACGGGGUUUCACUUUUAUUAUGGAUAUAGAUAUAGAUUUAUUUAUUUACUGUAUUUUUACCACGCCCUAUCUCGCCCCAAAGGGGACUCAGAGCAUCUUCCAAAAUAUGCAUUAUAUAAUAUUUUUUAUUUAUUUACCCUAUUUAUAUCCUGCCUUUCUCUACUCCGAAGGGGACUCAAGGCGGCUUUACACAUGGGCAACUAUUUGAUGCCUUAAAACAGUAGUUCUCAACCUAGGGUUGAGUUACAUAAAUGUUAUAAGUAUUUCGUUGACAAAUCAUCCAAUGUCAGUUGUCAAAGCUGGAUUCAGAGAAGGAAGAGGCACUACAGAUCAUAUUGCAAACAUGCAUUGGAUAAUAGAGUAUACCAAAGAAUCCCAAAGGAAAACCAACCUGUGGUUUAUAGAUCUUAGCAAAACCUUUAGAUCAGUGGUUCUCAACCUGUGGUCCUCAGAUGUUUUUGGCCUUCAACUCCCAGAAAUCCUAACAGCUGGUAAACUGGCUGGAAUUUUUGGGAGUGGCAGAGUGGCAAAAAGAGAAAGUUUAGUAUAUUAUGCUUAUAUUGUUCUAUACAAAUAUUAUAAUAUAUUGUAUGUACAUAUGACUUGUAAGCCGCCCUCAGUCUCCUUCGGGGUGAGAAGGGCGGGAUAUAAAUGUCGCUAAAUAGUAGGUCCUGGGAGAAGCUAAAAGAAGCACCAACCUCAUAUAUUCUCUCUGACUCUGGCCUUUUUAAAUGUCUUGGUAGGAAAAUGUUUCCCCGAGAUAACAUUGGUGCUUUCAUCUCUCUGUGAAAUGACUCUCAACUUAUCCAUAUGUAAUAUCAAAUCCAUUAUUUUGGCCCCAAAACCUGCCCUCAACUUAUAAAUGAGGUCGAUCUAUUCAUGAAAAUAUGAAUUACUUAAAUGUGCAGUGUCCCCCUCUUUGAGACUGCAAUGCAUUAAGCAUUUCCCAUCUGUGGGACAUUGUUUUGUUGGCAUAUUUGUUGGCAUAGUUUUGUAAAAAUUUGAUAUUCUGUAUCAUGCUUUUCACUUUCCAUGUUCCUAUCCUAUGUGUUGUGCAGCUUCAGACUUUCCUUUUACCUUUGAGCACAACUAGAGUGGGCAUACCCUUAAAGCACCAAAUCCUGUCUGAUUGUAGAAGCUAAGCAGGGUCAGCUCAAAUUAGCAUUUGGAUGGAAGAUCACCAAGAUAGACAAGGUGCUAUAGGCUAUAUGUCAUAAGGCAGUGAAAAACCCCCUCUGAAUAUUUCUUGCCUAAGAGAAUCCUGUGAAGUUAAUGUGAUCACAAUAAGUCGACAGGCACACACAAACACACACAACCCAUGAAUGAGAGACCCUUUUAUUACUAACCCUGUGACUUGAAGGCUCAUACCUGCAAAGGGGCUGCAUGGAGAAGGGGAAAAUAAAGUUUUUAAAGUUCUGGCAAAGAUUAAAAAGCAUUUAGCGGCUUUAAAAGUUAUAUAUAAUUGUUCAUGCGGUUUUUUUGUUGCUUUGCUCUUCCAUUUUCUACCUUUUCAGCUUCCCUUUUUGUUGCACUGACCUGUAUUGCCUUUUGUCCUGCGCUUCCGCAUUGUCCGGCUCAUUUCUGCUUUCUCAUAUCUCUCUUUUCUCCUACUCUCAUUAGUCUCCUACUGGCCUAGCUUUAUUGAUAACAUUUUAAUAUAUUCAGUGUAUAACACUUGGUCGUUUCUCCUACAGACUUCACUAACAUUUCCUCAACUGGAAAGAGAAUUUUGUUGGAUGCACUAAUUCUGCAUAGGAGGAAGAAAAUCUUGACAAUACAGAGAGAGGCUGAAAACCCAGCAAGCAUGGACAAUUAUAGAACGUGGUACAAAUUGGUCUGUGGCAAAAGAGUAUCUGUGAAAUUGGAGACUUUUUAACAUAGUUGUCAGACAACCUGAAACAUUUGACAAUAGUAUAAACACCUAUUACAUGUUUGAAAAGGGCUCAUUCACACUAUACAAUAUAGUUAUAUGAUUCCAUUUUAGCUGCAGUAGCAACAGCCUAUGGAAUCUGGAGGUAUGUAGAAGGAGAUGUUUACGGUUCUUAGCCAGAGAGCUCUAAUGUUUUGCCAAAGUACAAAUCCCAGGAUUCCAUGGAACGUUGCCAUAGCUGUUAAUGUGGAAUCAGAUAUCUACACGUAUAUAUAAAAUGUUAAAAGUAUGUCUGCCUGUAUGUCGGUAUGUUUGUACUGCAAAGGCUCUUACUAUGUGAACUGGCCCUCUGUAAUACCACUUGAUUGUCUGAUGCUAGGUGAAGUGGCCCUCUGUGAUGUCACUGGGCAAGAAACGUGAUGUGUAUGGGAAGGAGGGAUGAACGAAAAUAAGAAAGAGAAGGGAAAUAAAGGAAAGAAGAAGGGGAGAGAGAAAGAGAAAGGAGGGAAGGAAUGAAGGAAAGAGAAACAUGGGAAGAGGAAGGAAAGAAGGAAAGAGAAGUGAUGAAGGAAAAGAGGGAAGAGAGAAAAAGAAGGGAAGAGAAAGGAAGGAAGAAAAAAAGAAAGUAGAGAGAAGAUGUAUGAGGGAAAUGGAAGAAGGAAAGAAAGAGUCUCAAAGAGAGCCUGCCCUACCAUUGUGUGUUGCCAUGAAGACAUGGUGAGGUAGGCCUUCACAAAAUUGGAGAAGGGAGAAAGUCAGUUGGCAGCAGUCCCAAUGACGCCCAAGCAACACCAGGUAUAUACAUUAGUAGUAGUGUGUAAUGUGAAAGGACCUAAAGAGUGGCACCAGUAUUGAACUUGGGCUUUUACAGUAAUCUCUGGUCAUCCUUAUCUCUGUUACAACAGGCUUCACAUGGUCAAUAUUAAUAGACUGUCCAUGCUGAGCAGCAAGUUGUUUUUUAUUUAUCUUUUAAUUUAUCUUUUCCAUAGUUAACCCUCACUAGGGUUAGGAGCACAGGACCCUGUGAAAGUGCUAAACCAUGAAAAAGUGAUUGCUGUUCUUCCUUCCUUCCUUCCUUCCUUCCUUCCUUCCUUCCUUCCUUCCUUCCUUCCUUCCUUCCUUCCUUUCUUUUGAGAAAACACUUCUCUAGGAACUAUUAGUUUUUUCAGCAUAACUUGAUAGUUCACUUCUUCUGGGACCUGUCCAUAGAAUUACACUGGAAGGCCUAGAGAUUCCGAGAAAUGUUCUCUCUAGAAAUCUCUAGGUCCUCCAGCAUGACUGGAGGAAGUUGACCAUAGAAUGAUACUAGAGGACUUAGAGAUUCCUAGAGAAAACAUUUUAAUAAAAUCUGUGAGUAAUCAAACCUUCAAAAGUCAAAAUUGCAAAUGUGGAGGGAUGACCGUACAUCACAUUGCUGCCAAUCACAAGUUAAAUGAAAUGUAGAAAUUCAAAAUCAAGUGAGGCUCAUGCACAAUUGGAGUAGGAUUAAAUAUGGGAAACAUUAAGAGAUGGCGAUGGCAAAGACGCACAGAUAUUUGAGUACUGAUCCUUAAAACUGGCCUUUUUCAAUAUUCUACUUAUCUCUGUUAUGUCGCAUCCUGAUGCAUAUGGGUGUUAACUAUAAUGCAAUCAAGCCACAUGUACUUGAACUUAAGUCCGUUUUAUCUCACUGAGGUCAGUUUGGGUUGAUCCAGAUGGAGACUGCAAUAAUCCUUUUGCUAGCAAAGUAAACAGGCAGGCUCUUCUGCCUGCAGAACAUAGGAGAAAGUGUGCAAACCCUGGGGAUCAAGCUGUCUUUGUUUAAAACUUAAUAUUUCAACUUAACAAGCUAUUCAAGUCACAACUGAUUUACAUUAAUGUAAAUAUAUGUUGGAUUUGGUAUAAUCAACAUUAUCUCUGUUGGCCUCUCUAUUGCUUAUUCUCCAGUCCAGUCACCCGUCCUCCUUUUUUGCUUUUUCCCAGCAGCUGUAACUAGCCACAGUAUCAGCCUGUGAAUAUACUUUGCCUUUUAAAUACCACACAGCGCAUAUUUCCAGCACAAACAAUUUUAAUCAGGCAAAUUCACAUGCAGAUUACUGCAGGCCUAGCCAAGUCUUGUUAUCAUUAUUGACCAGAACGUUGAAUAAUAUUCCAAAUAUAGACUUGCUGGUGUUUUCAUGGCUCUACAUCAAUUGCCUUUUAAAUUAGCAGAAUCUCAACAGAGCCAAAUAACUUCUAGAUAUUAUAUUUUCAAAUGAAGAGCACCCAUCACUUUUCUAUUCUUCCCAUGGUGCCAGAAAACCUGCUACAUGGAGUUUCCUAGACCUCUGAACCAGCUAUUGUUGGCUGGCAUCCUUUUAGUGAUUUAUGGUGGCAUAAGUCCAGUUCAUGCCUCCUGAAGUUAUUUUUGGACACUACAGAGGUUGGAAUUCUUUACAAAUACAAUGACCAAUCUCCACCUAUAGCCAAUCUUUAUGCUGCAACAGCUCUUCAGUCCAGGGCAAUUUACUGGCCAGUGAAAAGUGGAGGAGCAGCAUGUUCUAAAGGUGAAUGCAUGGCAUCGAUGUUGUCUUUCAGUAUCUCUGAAGAACUUCCCAGGAAGUGCCAGAGGAAGCUUCAUUGGCCAGCAAAUUACUGUUUUGUUGGUGGUGGGGUGCAGCAGCAAAAAGGUGGACUUCAGGCCAGUAAGAGAGGAGCCAUUUCUUUGUUCACCCUCAGUGUAACUUUAUAAUCCAUUUCCUCAUUUAUUUCCCAAUUAUCAUUGUGAACAUGGAAAAUCUGUGUCUUUUAUGCUGCUAUAGAAGAGGGAGUUUCAGCAGGUGUUGCUUUUUACUUGGUUUUAACACAUGUAAUAAUCUGCCGAAUAACCUCUUCUAUACAACCAUUAAAGAUACAGGACUCAUCUCCAGUUUUCACUCUGGCAAACUUGUUUCUAAUUGUAUUUACGAGCUUUUGCACAAUAUAAAUAUAAUUAACUUACACAA